UACGGGGGGUGCGAGCGUUGUCCGGAAUCACUGGGCGUAAAGGGCGCGUAGGUGGUUUGAUAAGGGUGUGGUGAAAGCCCGGGGCUCAACCCCGGGUCUGCCGUGCCGACUGUCAAACUCGAGGGCUGUAGAGGCAGACGGAAUUCCGGGUGUAGCGGUGGAAUGCGUAGAUAUCAGGAGGAACACCUGCGGUGUAGACGGCUUACUGGACGGUAACUGACGCUGAGGCACGAAAGCGUGGGUAGCAAACAGG
rnacentral:rRNA from 1 species